CAGUAGCCGCGGUAAUACAGAGGGUGCAAGCGUUAAUCGGAAUUACUGGGCGUAAAGCGCGCGUAGGUGGUUUGUUAAGUCGAAUGUGAAAUCCCCGGGCUCAACCUGGGAACUGCAUCCGAAACUGGCAAGCUAGAGUAUGGUAGAGGGUAGUGGAAUUUCCUGUGUAGCGGUGAAAUGCGUAGAUAUAGGAAGGAACACCAGUGGCGAAGGCGACUACCUGGACUGAUACUGACACUGAGGUGCGAAAGCGUGGGGAGCAAACAGGAUUAGAUACCCCCGUAGUCCCUGUCUCUUAUAC
rnacentral:rRNA from 1 species